rfam:TPA: Bos taurus chromosome 10, whole genome shotgun sequence.
UCUCUGGUGGUCCAGUGGUUAGGACUCUGUGCUUCUACUUCUGGAGGCCCAGGUUCAAUCCCUGGACACAAAA